GGCCUUAGUGGCGCACGGGUGCGUAACGCGUGGGAAUCUGCCCCUUGGUUCGGAAUAACAGUUGGAAACGACUGCUAAUACCGGAUGAUGACGUAAGUCCAAAGAUUUAUCGCCGAGGGAUGAGCCCGCGUAGGAUUAGGUAGUUGGUGUGGUAAAGGCGCACCAAGCCGACGAUCCUUAGCUGGUCUGAGAGGAUGAUCAGCCACACUGGGACUGAGACACGGCCCAGACUCCUACGGGAGGCAGCAGUGGGGAAUAUUGGACAAUGGGCGAAAGCCUGAUCCAGCAAUGCCGCGUGAGUGAUGAAGGCCUUAGGGUUGUAAAGCUCUUUUACCCGGGAUGAUAAUGACAGUACCGGGAGAAUAAGCUCCGGCUACUCCGUGCCAGCAGCCGCGGUAAUACGGAGGGAGCUAGCGUUAUUCGGAAUUACUGGGCGUAAAGCGCACGUAGGCGGCUUUGUAAGUAAGAGGUGAAAGCCCAGAGCUCAACUCUGGAAUUGCCUUUUAGACUGCAUCGCUUGAAUCAUG
rnacentral:rRNA from 1 species